UACGGAGGAUCCAAGCGUUAUCCGGAUUUACUGGGCGUAAAGCGUGCGCAGGCGGCCAUGCAAGACAGAUGUGAAAUCCCCGGGCUCAACCUGGGAACUGCAUUUGUGACUGCAUGGCUAGAGUGCGGCAGAGGGGGAUGGAAUUCCGCGUGUAGCAGUGAAAUGCGUAGAUAUGCGGAGGAACACCGAUGGCGAAGGCAAUCCCCUGGGCCUGCACUGACGCUCAUGCACGAAAGCGUGGGGAGCAAACAGG
rnacentral:rRNA from 1 species